GAUGAACGCUGGCGGCGUGCCUAAUACAUGCAAGUCGAGCGAACAGACGAGGAGCUUGCUCCUCUGACGUUAGCGGCGGACGGGUGAGUAACACGUGGAUAACCUACCUAUAAGACUGGGAUAACUUCGGGAAACCGGAGCUAAUCCCGGAUAAUAUAUUGAACCGCAUGGUUCAAUAGUGAAAGACGGUUUUGCUGUCACUUAUAGAUGGAUCCGCGCCGCAUUAGCUAGUUGGUAAGGUAACGGCUUACCAAGGCAACGAUGCGUAGCCGACGGGAUAGGGUGGUAGGCCACACUGGAAGUGAAACACGGUCCAUAGUCCUACGGGAGGGAGCAGUAGGGAAUCGGACGCAAUGGGCGAAAGCAUGACGGAGCAACGCCGCGUGAGUGAUGAAGGUCUUCGGAUCGUAAAACUGUGUUAUUAGUGAAGAACAAAUGUGUAAGUAACUAUGCACGUAUUGACGGUACCUAAUCAGAAAGCCACGGCUAACUACGUG
rnacentral:rRNA from 1 species